rnacentral:rRNA from 1 species
GACGAACGCUGGCGGCGUGCCUAAUACAUGCAAGUCGAGCGAAGCGGCUGAUGGGUGAGUAGCGCGUGGGUAACCCGCCCUUAAGUCAGGGAUACCAUUUGGAAACAGAUGCUAAUACAGAAUACUACUUGCUGGACCUUGGCUGCAGUAGCUAGUUGGUAAUGUAACGGCUUACCACGGCGAGGAUGCAUAGACGAGCUGAGAGACUGAUCGGCCACAUUGGGACUGAGACACGGCCCAAACUCCUAAGGGAGGCAGCAGUAGGGAAUAGUCCACAAUGGACGAAAGUCUGAUGGAGCAACGCCGCGUGAGUGAAGAAGGUGUUCGGAUCGUAAAGCUCUGUGGGUGGAGAAGCGGUAAACAACCAGAAAGUCACGGCUAACUACGUGCCAGCAGCCGCGGUAAUAC